CAGUAGUACAGGAAAAUAAGUAGCAACUCGUUAAAGAUAUUCUAAAUUUGGGGUUACAAUGUAACCUAUUAGUAAAAUAGUUUAUAGUUGGGCUAAGGAACGAGGUUUAGUGGUGGCUUCAUUAUAAUCUUUUUAAUGGUUCAUAACAGUGGGAGUCUAUUUAAAUUAAUAAAAGGGUGGUUAUCGGCAAUUAUCAAUACACGGAUUGAACUAAAAUCCUAACAUAUGGCAUACAGUGAGUGUUGCACAACUGUAGUGUCAGCAAUACUACACUACGCUAUGAUACAUUACGUUGCGUAUCACUAUAUGUCAUAUGUUGGAAUACUAGCUAAGAUCCGUUUAUUGAUAAUCACGGGUAACUAUCCGUCUAUAUACAUAGAUACCCGUUGAUAACAACUAUUUAGAAAUAUUAUAAAUAGCGUUACAACUGAACCUCGUUCCUCAGUUCAGUUAUGAGCUAUAUUAGUGAUAGGUAACAUUAUAACCCAGUUAAUACAAUACCUAUACUCAGUUGCUACUUAUACAACCUGUGUAUUGUAAUAUAAUAGACCACAAGGAAAACUCACCGCAGUUCUACGUAUCCUUAAAUCAGAUACCAAAC